AAUCUUGCGCAAUGGUCGAAAGACUGACGCAGCGACGCCGCGUGCGGGAGGAAGCUCUUCGGGGUGUAAACCGCUGUUGCCCGGAACGAAACUCACCUUUCGAGGUGAUUGACGGUACUGGGUGAGGAAGCGCCGGCUAACUCUGUGCCAGCAGCCGCGGUAAUACAGAGGGCGCGAGCGUUGUCCGGAAUCACUGGGCGUAAAGGGCGCGUAGGUGGCCACCAUAAGGCCGCGGUGAAAGUCUGGGGCUCAACUCCAGAUCGGCCGCGGCGACUGGGGGGCUUGGGCACUGUAGAGGCAGAUGGAAUUCCGGGUGUAGCGGUGGAAUGCGUAGAGAUCCGGAAGAACACCGGUGGCGAAGGCGGUCUGCUGGGCAGUGAGCUCGCAAGGGCACAAUAGCCGACACUGAGGCGCGACAGCGUGGGGAGCAAAC
rnacentral:rRNA from 1 species